ACUGAAUAGAUACCCAGGUAGUCCUGGCCCUAAACGAUGAAUGCUUGGUGUGGCGGGUAUCGAUCCCUGCCGUGCCGAAAGCUAACGCAUUAAGCAUUCCGCCUGGGGAGUACGGUCGCAAGGCUGAAACUCAGAGGAAUUGACGGGGGCCCGCACAAGCGGUGGAGCAUGUGGUUCAAUUCGACGCAACGCGAAGAACCUUACCCAGGCUUGAACUGCAGGUGACAACCUACGAAAGUAGGCUUCCGCAAGGACACCUGUAGAGGUGCUGCAUGGCUGUCGUCAGCUCGUGUCGUGAGAUGUUGGGUCAAGUCCCGCAACGAGCGCAACCCUUGUCUUCUGUUGCCAUCGGGUUAUGCCGGGCACUCUGAAGAGACUGCCGGUGACAAACCGGAGGAAGGUGGGGAUGACGUCAAGUCAGCAUGGCCUUUAUGUCUGGGGCCACACACGUGCUACAAUGGCCGGUACAAACCGUCGCGAUCUCGUGAGAGGGAGCUAAUCGGAGAAAGCCGGUCUCA
rnacentral:rRNA from 1 species